GGUUUGAUUAUGGCUCAGAUUGAACGCUGGCGGGAUGCUUUACACAUGCAAGUCGAACGGCAGCACGGACUUCGGUCUGGUGGCGAGUGGCGAACGGGUGAGUAAUGUAUCGGAACGUGCCUAGUAGCGGGGGAUAACUACGCGAAAGCGUAGCUAAUACCGCAUACGCCCUUCGAGGAAAGCGGGGGACCUUCGGGCCUCGCACUAUUAGAGCGGCCGAUAUCGGAUUAGCUAGUUGGUGGGGUAACGGCUCACCAAGGCGACGAUCCGUAGCUGGUUUGAGAGGACGACCAGCCACACUGGGACUGAGACACGGCCCAGACUCCUACAGGGAGGCAGCAGUGGGGAAUUUUGGACAAUGGGGGAAACCACAGUCCAGCCAUCCCGCGUGUGCGAUGAGGCCUUCGGGUUGUAAAGCACUUUUGGCAGGAAAGAAACGGCGGGAUAAUACCCCGUGCAACUGACGGUACCUGCAGAAUAAGCACCGGCUAACUACGUGCCAGCAACCGCGGUCAGCCAUAGGGUGCAAGCGUUAAUCCCGGAAUUACUGGGCGUAAAGCGUGCGCAGGCGGUUCGGAAAGAAGAUGUGAAAUCCCAGAGCUUAACUUUGGAACUGCAUUUUUAACUACCGGCUAGAGUGUGUCAGAGGGAGGUGGAAUUCCGCGUGUAGCAGUGAAAUGCGUAGAUAUGCGGAGGAACACCGAUGGCGAAGGCAGCCUCCUGAGACUAACAUAGGCGCUCUUUUUUUGAAAGCGUGGGGAGCAAACAGGAUUAGAUACCCUGGUAGUCCGCCUAAACGGUAACUAGCUGUUGGGGCCUUCCGGAGCCUUGGUAGCCUUCUUGCGGACCCGUACCUAGGGAAGCGGUCGCAAGAUUAAAACUCAAAAGGAAUUGACGAGGACCACACAAGCGGUGGAUGAUGUGGAUUAAUUCAGUGCAGCUUUCGAAAAGCCUUACCUACCCUUGACAUGUCUGGAAUCCCGAGAGAGAUUUGGGAGUGCUCGCAAGAGAGACGGGGAACACAGGGCCACACCAUGGCUAGCCGGUGGCGCUCAUUGUCGUGAGAUGUUGGGUUGAGUCCUGCUGGGCACAACCCUUGUCAUUAGUUGCUACGAAGGGCACUCUAAUGGACACCCCGGUGACAAACCGGAGGAAGGUGGGGAUGACGUCAAAGUCCUCAUGGCCCAUAUGGGUGGAGCUUCACACGUCAUACAAUGGUCGGGACAGAGGAUUAGCCAGCCCGCGAGGGGAGCCAAUCCCAGAAACCCGAUCGUAGUCCGGAUCGCAGUCUGCAACUCGACUGCGUGAAGUCGGAAUCGCUAGUAAUCGCGGAUCAGCAUGUCGCGGUGAAUACGUUCCCGGGUCUUGUACACUGCCCGUCACCAUGGGAGUGGGUUUUACCAGAAGUAGUUAACCUAACCGUAGGAGGCGAUUACCACAGUAUGGGAUUCAUGACGGGGGUGAAGUCGUAACAGGUAACC
rnacentral:rRNA from 1 species